rnacentral:ncRNA from 1 species
CUUUUUUGAUCGUUAGCAGGUGCACCAUCACUGAUGGUGUUUAAAAAGGAACCGUGUGCAAAUCACGGACUGUUGCGCAACUGUAAUUUCUGACCGGCCAUGGCCCGGAAGGAAGAAGUCAGAUACUUGCCUGUCUAACGGACGAAUG